rnacentral:snRNA from 1 species
CCAAAGACUCAUAUGGACUUUGG